rnacentral:hammerhead_ribozyme from 1 species
ACACUGCUGAAGAGUCCCACAAUCGAACGAAAUGGCCGUCCAGUAA